rnacentral:rRNA from 1 species
AGCAGCCGCGGUAAUUCCAGCUCCAAUAGCGUAUAUUAAAGUUGUUGCAGUUAAAAAGCUCGUAGUUGAAUUUCGGGAUCAAGGCGUCGGUCGUGCUUCGGUACGUACUGGCGUCAUUGAUUUCUCCCUUCUGACGAACCAUGAUGCCAUUAACUUGGUGUUAUGGGAAAUCAGGACUGUUACUUUGAAAAAAUUAGAGUGUUUAAAGCAGGCUCACGCUUGAAUACAUUAGCAUGGAAUAAUGAAAUAGGACGUUCGAUCCUAUUUUGUUGGUUUUUAGGAUCAACGUAAUGAUUAAUAGGGAUAGUUGGGGGCAUUAGUAUUCAAUUGUCAGAGGUGAAAUUCUUGGAUUUAUUGAAGACUAACUACUGCGAAAGCAUUUGCCAAGGAUGUUUUCAUUAAUCAAGAACGAAAGUUAGGGGAUCGAAGACGAUCAGAUACCGUCGUAGUCUUAACCAUAAACUAUGCCGACUAGGGAUCGGAUGAUGUUAAUUAUUUAAUGACUCAUUCGGCGCCUUACG